AGAGUUUGAUCCUGGCUCAGAACGAACGCUGGCGGCAGGCCUAACACAUGCAAGUCGAACGAAGCCUUCGGGUUUAGUGGCGGACGGGUGAGUAACGCGUGGGAACGUGCCCUUCUCUACGGAAUAGUCCUGGGAAACUGGGUUUAAUACCGUAUACGCCCUUCGGGGGAAAGAAUUUCGGGGAAGGAUCGGCCCGCGUUGGAUUAGGUAGUUGGUGGGGUAAUGGCCCACCAAGCCGACGAUCCAUAGCUGGUUUGAGAGGAUGAUCAGCCACACUGGGACUGAGACACGGCCCAGACUCCUACGGGAGGCAGCAGUGGGGAAUCUUAGACAAUGGGGGCAACCCUGAUCUAGCCAUGCCGCGUGAGUGACGAAGGCCCUAGGGUCGUAAAGCUCUUUCGCCAGGGAUGAUAAUGACAGUACCUGGUAAAGAAACCCCGGCUAACUCCGUGCCAGCAGCCGCGGUAAUACGGAGGGGGUUAGCGUUGUUCGGAAUUACUGGGCGUAAAGCGCGCGUAGGCGGACUAUUAAGUCAGAGGUGAAAUCCCGGGGCUCAACCCCGGAACUGCCUUUGAUACUGGUAGUCUUGAGUUCGAGAGAGGUGAGUGGAAUUCCGAA
rnacentral:rRNA from 1 species